rnacentral:rRNA from 1 species
UACGUAGGGGGCAAGCGUUGUCCGGAUUAUUGGGCGUAAAGAGCGUGUAGGCGGCCAUACAGGUCCGUUGUGAAAACUCGAGGCUCAACCUCGAGACGUCGAUGGAAACCAUCUGGCUAGAGUCCGGAAGAGGAGAGUGGAAUUCCUGGUGUAGCGGUGAAAUGCGUAGAUAUCAGGAGGAACACCGGUGGCGAAGGCGGGUCUCUGGGCAGUAACUGACGCUGAGGAGCGAAAGCGUGGGGAGCGAACAGG